AAAAUUUUAAAGGUCGAACAGACCUAAUUUAACUAGCUUCUACACCAAUUAUUUAUUUUAAUCCAACAUCGAGGUCGCAAUCUUUUUUUUCGAUAAGAGCUCUCUAAAAAAAUUACG
rnacentral:rRNA from 1 species